CUCGCCUUUAUGCUUAGCAAAGGGUUAUCAUUAUGGGAUUGUGAUUUAUUUCCUCUCUCCUUUUGAUGUCCUUUGUUGUUCCGCUCCUUCAGACAUGCUUCCACUAUAUUAAAAAGACCAACUUGAAUGCAUGAAUUUGUACUUGAUUGUUUGGUUGUGACCUGGCACCUAGUUCCACAGAUGCUUUAAAGUUGAAGUAUCAGAGUUUAGGUUUUCUAUGAAUGAUUUUGAUGCUUUGGUGUUAAAGUUUCAUAUAUGAGAUGUUUUUGUUCUGAUGCAUAUUUCACUUUGGCAUAUUCCCGAACACUUGGUGUGCAUGGUUCACACACUAUGAUUGUUUGGCAUCUUUGGCAACUAAAGAGACCAGUGCUGUGCCGUUGAGAUGGGUUUGAGACAAAGCUUAUGGAAAUCGCAAAGGGUAAUAGACUAAUAGUCACCUAAUCAUCAAGCACAAUUGGACCAACUGGUUUUUUUGGGUUUCACUUAAUCAUCAAUCUAUUUCAAGUGAAGCCGAUGAGGUUAGUGCUCACUUAAAUGCCUGAUUCAAUUAAUAGAUAUUAGUUUGAGUUGCCUGGAACUAAUAUAUUAACUUGAACCAGUAAUCUUUGUAUUAAUAUGUUUUCCUAUAUUUGUAGAUCUUGACAAAGAAAGGUCUUGUUAUUCUUCCUGAUAUAUAGAAAUAGAUAUAUGCAAACUCUGGAGGUGGAGGAGUCACUGUUAGUUACUUCGGUUAUGCCUAAGGAACUGCUUGAGUGAAAGAAAAAUCGAAUCAAAUUGAAAUCAAAGUGUCAAAGCUUCCGUAGAAGCAGGUGGAGUUUGAAAAAAAUGAUGGGAAAACGAAUCACUUACUGAAUUCUGGUACACCAAAAGAUUCAGAGGAAACUUUUGGUGAUAAAUGAGAUUCUUAGCAUCACAGGAGGAAAACAAGAGAUUUUUACUCAUUGAGGUUAUAAUUCUCAAAGACUUUAAAGUGUCAAUUAUAUAUCAGCUCUAUUUAGCAGAGGUAUUGGAUUAUGUGGCUGGUCGACAGCUUAAGAAAGAUGAUGAAGUGUGGCUGGUAUGUCGGGAGAGCAGUUUAGAGCACCAGAUGAUGUGGUAUUUUCAGAUUGUGUGGAUUUAACUUGUAGAGUUAUAGUUUGAUUGGUUGAUGUAAUGGGAUUUGGACACUUGUACAUUUUCAAAUGAAAUUAUUUAUAAUGAUAAUUUGAUUGAAGUGUUUCUCUUA